CUGUGCUGGGAAGGGCUGCAGCCAGGUUGAGGGCAACUUCAGAGCAUCCAGCGUUCAAGCUCCAACAGGCUUUAAAGCUGUUCCUGAAGUUGAGACCCCUGCGGGGUGUGGCCACCUCAGCCCAUGCUGUGUAACUGAUGAAAACAGAGCAGUACAGUGGCCUCUGAAGACCUAACAAUUGAAGAUGUAAUAAUUGCAUGAGCUUGCUAACAUGACAUCAAAAGCUGUGCCACUCAUGCUCAGUGGUCUCCUGCCUGGGAAGUUAUUUCAUCAGGUAUACGAUUACUGAAGGCCAAAGGAUGAUGAACCAAAUCUGCACAAGCAAAGAGAAGGCCCGUUCUUAAGACUGCUCCGAAUUUACCCUAUACACUGAAUAUACUUCAAAAGAUUAAAAAUAGAUUUUUCACUAGA